UGGCGGGAAUGCCCCGUUAGGUGGCUAACCUCCGGACAAUCCAAAAAGAAGAAGACUAGUCACUUCCGCGUCAACACAGACUAGCACAACCAACAUGGCGACGCUAGAUAGUCUUAAACGUUUGGAGUAUUUAUCUUUGGUAUCCAAAGUGUGCACCGAGUUGGAAAACCAUCUUGGAAUAAGCGAAAAGGAUCUUGCUGAAUUCAUUAUCAGCCUCGCAGACAGUCACCCAACAUUUGGGGAGUUUAAAGCUGCCUUGACACAAAAUGGAGCCGCGUUUACUGAAACACUCACGAAAAACCUAUUUAGAAUUAUCAAAACCAUGCAAGCGAGUCAAGCACAUCAGCAAAAACCCAAGAGUGAGCAAGACAAGCUGAAAGAAAAAUAUCCCGCUUUAUGUAAACCAGAUGAUCCCGUGUGGAGGCUCAGUGAAAAUGAUGAGCAGGUUGCCGCAGCAGCCAUGAAGGAGCUGGAGAUGCUCAUGCCUUCCUCUGCAUCUGGUUUAUGUACCUUUAGAGAGGAGAGCAGUCGGAAACGUCAUUGGUCCGGGUCGAGAGAGUGCGAAGGCGAUACGACCGGCAAGCGGCAACGGAAACGACCGUCCCGCUGGAGCGACCGACCACCGAGCCCGCCACGAGACGCCGCAAGGGAGGAGGCGGUCCCGGAACCGAAGCCCGUCGAGCGCCCUCUGUCCGAUGUUCCCGUGGUGGGCGACAUCUACUGUGGCAAAGUGUCCAGUGUGAUGCAGUUUGGAUGCUUUGUGCAGCUAGAAGGACUUCGGAGGCGCUGGGAAGGCCUGGUGCACGUGUCGGAGCUGCGCAAGGAAGGCCGAAUAGCAGACGUGUCGUAUGUGGUCAGCAGGGGACAAAAGGUCAAAGUCAAAGUGCUGUCCAUGACCGGAACAAAGGCCAGCCUCAGCAUGAAGGACGUCGAUCAGGAAACCGGAGAGGACCUGAACCCCAACCGCAAGAGGAACUUUGAAACCGGUACGGGUGCCGGGGACGGGGACAACGCCCUGAGGAAUCCCGACUUUCCUGUGGAGGUUUGCGUGGUGGAGAGCGAGGAGAACCCAAGUGAGCAAAAGAGGAUGGCCCGCAUCACAGACUUGGAAAAGUGGGAGGUCAAACAGAUGAUUGCCGCCAAUGUUCUCCCGAAGGAGGAGUACCCGGAGUUUGAUGAGGAGACAGGAAUCCUUCCCAACUUAGACGACGAGGAAGAUAUGGACAUUGAGAUCGACCUGGUAGAUGAGGAGCCGCCCUUCCUGCAGGGUCAGACGCGGUGGAGCAACAACACGAGUCCCGCCAAGAUCGUCAAGAAUCCCGACGGCUCGCUAUCGCGGGCGGCCAUGAUGCAGAGCGCCCUGGCCAAAGAGCGUCGCGAGCUCAAGCAGGCGGCUCGCAACGAAGAGAUGGACCGCAUCCCGACCGGUCUCCACAAGAACUGGAUCGACCCCAUGCCGGACUACGAGGGUCGGCAGAUCGCCGCCAACAUGCGCGGCAUCGGCGCCCUGCCCAUCAACGUUCCAGAGUGGAAGCGGUACGCCUUCGGGGGGAACCAGGUGUCGUACGGCAAGAAGACGGAGCUGUCUAUCCUGCAGCAGCGGGAGAGUCUUCCCAUCUUUAAGCUCAAGGAGGAGCUGGUUCAGGCUGUCCACGACAACCAGAUCCUGAUCGUGGUGGGCGAAACCGGCUCGGGGAAGACCACGCAGAUCACGCAGUACCUGGCGGAUGCGGGAUACACGGCGCGGGGGAAGAUCGGCUGCACGCAGCCCCGCCGCGUGGCCGCCAUGUCGGUCGCCAAGAGGGUCUCCGAGGAGUACGGAUGUCGGCUGGGCCAGGAGGUGGGCUACACAAUUCGUUUCGAGGACUGCACCAGCAUGGAGACCCUGAUCAAGUACAUGACUCACGGAAUGCUGCAGCGGGAAUGUCUGAUCGACCCCGACAUGAGCCAGUAUUCCCUCAUCAUGUUGGAUGAGGCCCACGAGAGGACCAUCCACACCGACGUCCUCUUCGGACUACUCAAGAAGACUGUGCAAAAGCGCAAGGACCUGAAGCUGAUCGUGUCGUCGGCCACGUUGGACGCCGUCAAGUUUUCGCAGUACUUCUUCGAGGCACCCAUCUUCACCAUCCCAGGGAGGACGUUCCCUGUGGAGAUCCUCUACGCCAGGGAGCCCGAGACUGACUAUCUGGAUGCCAGCCUCAUCACAGUCAUGCAGAUCCACCUGACCGAACCUCCCGGUGACAUCCUGGUCUUUCUGACUGGGCAGGAGGAGAUCGACACGGCCUGCGAGAUCCUCUUUGAGCGCAUGAGGAUGCUUGGUCCUGAUGUUCCCCAGCUCAUCAUCCUUCCCGUUUAUUCAGCACUGCCCAGCGAGAUGCAGACCAGGAUCUUUGACCCGGCACCACUUGGCAGCAGGAAGGUGAUCAUCGCCACAAACAUUGCCGAGACGUCGCUGACCAUCGACGGCAUCUACUACGUGGUGGACCCCGGUUUUGUCAAACAGAUUGUUUACAACUCCAAGUCAGGCAUCGACCAGCUGGUGGUGACGCCCAUUUCGCAGGCACAGGCCAAGCAGCGUUCGGGCCGAGCCGGCAGGACAGGUCCCGGCAAGUGUUACCGCCUGUACACGGAGCGAGCGUACAGGGACGAGAUGUUGACCACCAACGUGCCGGAGAUCCAGAGGACCAAUCUGGCCAGCACGGUGCUCUCGCUCAAGGCCAUGGGCAUCAACGACCUGCUGGCCUUCGACUUCAUGGACGCUCCCCCCAUGGAGACGCUGAUCACAGCCAUGGAGCAGCUCUACGCUCUGGGUGCGCUGGACGACGAGGGGCUACUCACACGUCUGGGAAGGAGGAUGGCGGAAUUUCCUCUGGAGCCCAUGUUGUGCAAGAUGCUGAUCAUGUCCGUGCACCUGGGCUGCAGCGACGAGAUGCUCACCAUCGUGUCCAUGUUGUCCGUGCAGAACGUCUUCUACAGGCCCAAGGACAAGCAGAUCCAGGCAGACCAGAGGAAGGCCAAGUUCUCCCAGCCGGAAGGCGACCAUCUGACCCUGCUGGCCGUUUUCAACUCGUGGAAGAACAACAAGUUCUCCAACCCUUGGUGCUUUGAGAACUUCAUUCAGGGCCGCUCGCUCAAAAGAUCCCAGGACAUCCGCAAGCAGAUGUUGAGCAUCAUGGACAGACACAAGCUGGACGUGGUGUCUUGCGGCAAGUCGACCAUGCGCGUGCAGAAAGCCAUCUGCAGCGGUUUCUUCCGCAACGCUGCCAGGAAGGACCCUAAGGAGGGCUACCGGACCCUCAUCGACCAGCAGGUGGUCUACCUCCACCCGUCCAGCACGCUCUUCAACCGCCAGCCCGAGUGGCUGGUCUACCACGAGCUGGUGCUGACCACCAAGGAGUACAUGCGUGAGGUGACCACUAUCGACCCACGCUGGUUGGUGGAGUUCGCGCCCGCCUUUUUCAAGGUGUCCGACCCGACACGCCUCAGCAGGCAGAAGAAGCAGCAGCGCCUGGAGCCUCUCUAUAACCGCUACGAGGAGCCUAACGCUUGGAGGAUCUCCAGAGCCUUCAGGAGACGCUGACAACUUUGACGGGGACAUUGGUAAAGUGUGAUGAUUGGUAAAGUCUGGUGCUAUGUCCUUUAUUUUAGGACAAGAUGAAUGGUCUGACACAUUUUCGCUACCUGUUUUUAAUCAGAGAUGCAAGUAAACCGCAAGUCAAAAUGAAAAUAAGACAAUGUGCUCGAAGACAAUUUUGAAAUCAGCAUAAAAAAACGACGAGUCACGCGCAAAGCCAUCUCUGCCUAUAUUGUCAAGAUAGCGUCAGCCAUAGUAAGUUUGAAUGACAUGUAUUUAUUGUGCUGUACUAAAAAGAAAUGUAUAGGUAUACAACGGUCUUAGUGUGUCAUCAAAAAUAUACAAUGUAUAUAAAUAUGUAUAUAAAGAAAACGUGCGUGCCUGUGGAGGCCAAGAAGGAGUCAGGACGUGCAGUCGUGUAUAAUUUGAAGUAUUUAUUAAGCAAUCUCUUGAUCCACAAUCGUAUUUCGAGGCCUCGGCGGUGACAGGGAGCCUCGGGAAACUCAGCUCCCUCGUGAGAUUAAUUUAGAACAGAAACACCGUAGCUGUAUAUACAAGUGGCGGCGGGGGAAGGGGUGCAUGGAGGCGUGUAUAAAGAUGCUUUGGGGGUACAGCAAGGGAUUCGGGGGGGCUCGGAGGGAUGCGGCUUUAGUACAUAUAGGCUUUGGAGUAGGGCUGGGCGGCGUGGGCGGGGUGCUCGGCAGCGUUGUAGGGCGGCCCUCCCUCGUCCAGGUGAGACAGCGGCACCGUGUCCUCCUCGUUGACGUAGCGCUCAAACUCGGCCUUCAGGCUGGGCCGCUGAUUGUCGGGGAAGGCCAGCGAGAUCAGCGCCUCGGGCUCGCACACAAACUUGUACACGUAGCGCUCGCCCGCCACCUGAGAACGGCACGCACGCUUAGCCAAAAAGACCAAAAUGGACCAGCUGACCCAGAUAUCUUUUUUUUUUUUUACCUUCUGCAUGAUUCCCUUCUCAUAGUAGUAGCGCAGAGAGCGGCUCAGCUUGUCGUAGUUCAUGGCGGGACGAUUCUUCUGCAUCCCCCACAACCGGGCCACCUGAGGAGCAGGUUGACGUCCAUUAUUACUUGGGAUGGCAGACAAUGCUAUGUGCAGUACUUUUUUUUUUUUCUUCCCCAAAAUGGCAUGAGCACUGAAUGUAUUUGCGCAUGAUGCAAGCAGGCAUCCAGCAUCAUGUUGGGCUGAUCCCUGAGUGCUCUCAGCCACUAAUUGCACUCGUACAUUUUUAAUGCCUUGUGAAGCCAUAAUAGAACCGUGCAGCAGCGUUUGGACGCUCCCCAAAUGGACACGCGCCCCACUCAUAACGACAACGCUAAUUGGACACUUACAACUAGAUCGCACUUCACCUUUUGGUAGUGGUGUUCUUUUAUUUUUUUUAAUAAAUCAUUUGCUUUGAAAGGCUGUGAAUGGAUUCACUGUGUUGCUUUUCCUUAGACUAGCAAAGUUGUAAGUCUUUGGCUAGCAUGUGUUGGUUAUUAAUGUAGUUUGUGCAGUUUGAUAUUUGUCCUUCAUAUCUUUUAUGUAUUCAUCGUUCAAAGCAUACAUAUAUAAUGCAACUUGUUGAAAUUGUGCCUAGUGAACCAAAAGUAUGCAAAGGAUGACUGAACUUCCUUGACACAAACUGGUACUAUUUUCAAAUUAGCCAGGGCUUUGGUGCCGUGUUGUGGAAAGUGCGCAGGUACCUCUUCGGGCUCAAUGAGCUUGAACUCCAUCCCGCGGCCGGUCCAGGCGAUGAAGUGCGCGUUGCCGGGGUCAUCCAGGAGGGCCACCAAGAAUUGCCACAGUUGCAGCGAGCCUCGCCGCUGGUAAGGCGUUCCCUCGCGGAACACGCCGCCACCGCCGCCGCCUGUUUCCUGCUUUACCUCACCUGCAAAGGAGAGAGAACAGUCACCCGGACAUUGUCAAGGCAAAUUGGACAACGUUUGCAGCGUGACUGGCUUACCGCUCAAGAAUUUAUUUUCUACUUUCACAGCGACCUUGUAACUUCACAGCUCUACAUAACACUGUUCCUAGCAUAAAAGGAAUGAGUUUGUCUCCAAAUGAUAAGCAUAUCUGGUGAGUACGAUGCGGUGGUGUUUUUUUUUAUUUUUUAUGUUCAUGUUAGGAGGUAAAGAUUGUGCACUGUUAUAUUGUAGUGAUUCUUCCACAUGUAGCUCCCACAUUUGUUGCUCCACGACAGACCCCGGGAAUAAAGUGGAUACAUCAUGUCAUCACUAUGUACAUGAUGUUAGUCUACAACAAUCUUUAUCCUCAUCUUUGGGUGAGAACCGACUUGUCCCGGAGUGUCGCCGGCGGCCCACAUCAGUCAGCAUGACAGCGAGUGGUGGGAGGGAAACAAGGCGCGGCGACAUUUGGACCCGCUGUUAAUGCACAAGAUGCGAGACACCAUUGACAUUUCCCCUGUUUGGUCUUGCGGAGCAGUUGAGAACUCCUAAAUGUGACGUGGCUCCGGUUUCAAGGCUUUUGUCAAUGCUGCGACUUAUGAAUGAAGACGAAACCCCGCCCCUCAGCCAUUCACAACGCUUCACGGGG